UGUCUAAGGCAGAGGGGUGGACUGCAAUGUGAUUUGGGAAGGCCAGUUGGUCCCUGGUUUCUGUCCAAGGAAGAAUGGAACAGCAUGCAUACCAUGUUCAAAAACAAAGGGCAGAAAGGAACUCCAAGAAACAGAGAAGUGAAUCCCAGGAAAAUGCAAGGAAACCGCAGGAAAUUCAGCUGUCAAUCACUGAAACUCUGUGGAACCAGGUACUGUUGGCUUUUAAGGAUAUACAAAAGGAGCUACAGGAAGAUGCUCGGAUUCGAGGUAUGAGUAAUUGCUCUGGGAUAUCCAUGUCAUCUGCAUCCAGCAUUGGAAGUAGCAGGCUUCCAGUUUCCUCCACGUCCCCAACAUUGAGAAGAUCACGGUCUGGAAAUGGAAAGCAGCUCUCAAGAGUCUUAAGGACCUAGCUCUUCAACCCAUCACCUUGCUCCUCUGGACCCUAACUCCAUGAUCAAGGAAAUCACCCUCUUCAGCUUCUUCCAGGUGACUGUGCCAUCAUGAACACAACAUUAGCUGGCUGUCUAAACAUGAGUUUAGGCAGAUAUCAUCUCUGAACCCAGAAGAGAGCAAUUGUGCCUAAAGAUGGGAGCCAGGGCCUAUAGUUACAACUAGGAUGCUGGAGAUUGAGUUAAACCCAAGCACACCCCAAUUACCAAGUGAAAAUACCUUCAAACAAGCAACUGAUUAA